UACGGAAGGGGCAAGCGUUGUUCGGAAUCAUUGGGCGUAAAGGGCGUGUAGGUGGCUCUGUAUGUCUACCGUGAAAGCGUACGGCUCAACCGUAUUUAGUCGGUAGAAACUGCAGGACUUGAGGCUGGGAGGGGCUGGUGGAAUUCCCCGUGUAGCGGUGAAAUGCGUAGAGAUGGGGGAGAACACUCGUGGCGAAGGCGGCCAGCUAGACCAGUUCUGACACUGAGGCGCGACAGCGUGGGGAGCAAACAGG
rnacentral:rRNA from 1 species